AGGACGAACGCUGGCGGCGUGCCUAACACAUGCAAGUCGAACGGAGCCCGCAAGGGUUCAGUGGCGAACGGGUGCGUAACACGUGAGGAACUUGUCCAUCGGCGGGGGAUAGCCGGCCCAACGGCCGGGUAAUACCGCGUACGCCGUCCGGAGCGCAUGCUCUGGCCGGGAAAGCAGCAAUGCACCGAUGGAGCGCCUCGCGGCCUAUCAGCUAGUUGGUGGGGUAAUGGCCUACCAAGGCGACGACGGGUAGCUGGUCUGAGAGGAUGACCAGCCACAUUGGGACUGAGACACGGCCCAGACUCCUACGGGAGGCAGCAGUGGGGAAUAUUGCGCAAUGGGCGAAAGCCUGACGCAGCGACGCCGCGUGUGGGAUGACGGCCUUCGGGUUGUAAACCACUGUCGCGAGGGACGAAGAUCUGACGGUACCUCGAAGGAAGCACCGGCUAACUCUGUGCCAGCAGCCGCGGU
rnacentral:rRNA from 1 species